rnacentral:rRNA from 1 species
UACGUAGGUGGCAAGCGUUGUCCGGAUUUAUUGGGUUUAAAGGGUGCGUAGGCGGCUUUGUAAGUCAGUGGUGAAAUACGGUAGCUCAACUAUCGAGGUGCCAUUGAUACUGCGGAGCUUGAGUACAGAUGAGGUAGGCGGAAUUGACGGUGUAGCGGUGAAAUGCUUAGAUAUCGUCAAGAACACCUAUAGCGAAGGCAGCUUACUAGGCUGUAACUGACGCUGAGGCACGAAAAGUGUGGGGGAUCAAAACAGGG